rnacentral:lncRNA from 1 species
UUUCCAUUUUAUGCUCUCAUGGUAUGGUAACAAAUUUGUUUGUCCAAUUUGCACGGUGAGUGUCCUAUAUCACAUAUUAAUAAAAAAAUGAAGCAUAAUUGCAUGCUAAUGAGAUACAUUGCUCAUGCAGGAUGGUUAUGAGUUGAGAAAGAUUUUUUUGAUAUACUUGCUCGACUAUCAUGCGAAUGAAGCUGAAGACAACAUCCCCUAUGAUGUACGACAAAUUCUCAAGUGCCUCAAGUAGGGAGUUAGUAAUCUAGAUAAUAAAA